rnacentral:rRNA from 1 species
AACGAACGCUGGCGGCAUGCCUAACACAUGCAAGUCGAACGAGACCUUCGGGUCUAGUGGCGCACGGGUGUGUAACGCGUGGGAAUCUGCCCUUCGGUUGGGAAUAACUGAGAGAAAUUUCAGCUAAUACCUUAUAAUGUCUUCGGACCAAAGAUUUAUCGCCGAGGGAUGAGCCCGCGUAGGAUUAGGUAGUUGGUGGGGUAAUGGCCUACCAAGCCGACGAUCCUUAGCUGGUCUGAGAGGAUGAUCAGCCACACUGGGACUGAGACACGGCCCAGACUCCUACGGGAGGCAGCAGUGGGGAAUAUUGGACAAUGGGCGAAAGCCUGAUCCAGCAAUGCCGCGUGAGUGAUGAAGGCCUUAGGGUUGUAAAGCUCUUUUACCCGGGAUGAUAAUGACAGUACCGGGAGAAUAAGCUCCGGCUAACUCCGUG